AAGGAUUUAAGUUAAAACUAAACUAUUAACCUUCAAAGUUAAUUAUAAAGGAGGUUCUUUAAGCCUUA
rnacentral:tRNA from 2 species